rnacentral:rRNA from 1 species
GAUGGACGCUGGCGGCGUGCCUAAUACAUGCAAGUCGAGCGAACAGACGAGGAGCUUGCUCCUCUGACGUUAGCGGCGGACGGGUGAGUAACACGUGGAUAACCUACCUAUAAGACUGGGAUAACUUCGGGAAACCGGAGCUAAUACCGGAUAAUAUAUUGAACCGCAUGGUUCAAUAGUGAAAGACGGUUUUGCCGUCACUUAUAGAUGGAUCCGCGCCGCAUUAGCUAGUUGGUAAGGUAACGGCUUACCAAGGCAACGAUGUGUAGCCGACCUGAGAGGGUGAUCGGCCACACUGGAACUGAGACACGGUCCAGACUCCUACGGGAGGCAGCAGUAGGGAAUCUUCCGCAAUGGGCGAAAGCCUGACGGAGCAACGCCGCGUGAGUGAUGAAGGUCUUCGGAUCGUAAAACUCUGUUAUUAGGGAAGAACAAAUGUGUAAGUAACUAUGCACGUCUUGACGGUACCUAAUCAGAAAGCCACGGCUAACUACGUG